AGUCGGCGGAGGAAUGCCGUUAUUAGCUGCGGACUGGCUAGCAGUUCUUGCAUCUCUUCUUCCAAGUUUUACAUUCCAUGUGAGCCCUCCCAGCUACAAAUCAAAACCAGGAAUUAUUUGAAAAAAAGAAAAGAAAAUAUAACCAAGAUGCUUU